CGUACGGGUGAGUAACACGUGGAUAAUCUGCCUUUUAGUGGGGAAUACCGUUGGGAAACCGACGACAAUACCGCAUAAGCUCGAGAGAGGAAAGCCGCAAGGCGCUGGAAGAGGAGUCCGCGGCUGAUUAGCUAGUUGGUGAGGUAAUGGCUCACCAAGGCUUAGAUCAGUAGCCGGCCUGAGAGGGCACACGGCCACACUGGCACUGAAACACGGGCCAG
rnacentral:rRNA from 1 species